UACGUAGGGUGCAAGCGUUGUCCGGAAUUAUUGGGCGUAAAGAGCUCGUAGGCGGUUUGUCGCGUCUGCUGUGAAAACUCGGGGCUUAACCCCGGGCCUGCAGUGGGUACGGGCAGACUAGAGUGCGGUAGGGGAGACUGGAAUUCCUGGUGUAGCGGUGAAAUGCGCAGAUAUCAGGAGGAACACCGGUGGCGAAGGCGGGUCUCUGGGACGUGACUGACGCUGAGACGCGAAAGCGUGGGGAGCAAACAGG
rnacentral:rRNA from 1 species